AGGUGUGAUCAUACCAGUAUUAAUGCACCGGAUCCCAUCAGAACUCCGCAGUGAAGCGUGCUUGGGCGAAUAUGAGGUUGAGGAUG
rnacentral:rRNA from 2 species